GUGUUUUCUAGGAUUUUUAAACUGAUUUGCCCAUUUUCAGGAGAGUCCAUCAAUAUCUUAUAGAUGGGGUGCAACACCCUGCACCCCAUUAGUGUUUUCUGAGCAGUUCCAUCGCUGAAACUACACAGCGGUGUCCACUGUGCAGGGGACAGAGCUGGUUAUUACAGUGCUGUUCCUGUUCACUUCAAUGACAGCAGCUCUGUAGUAACUAGUUCUGGCCACUACACAGUUGACGGAGCUACUCCCAAUAGUCCCUGGACCCUCACUGAUCUGACACCGAUAGCCAAUCAAUAUAAAAAUCCUGAAAACCCCUUUGAAAGACCAGAGUAGUGUCUGUCUACAAAACCCUAAAUCUGCUGCAAAGAAUCAUUAGAUUGAAGGUCAUCUCCCGGGAAACUUUAGGUAAAAAAAAUGGCAAUACUACCAGGGCGCUAAGAUUUACCACACUUUAUAUUAUAGUAUAAAACUAGACAUAAACAAAGUGAUCGGAUCUUAGCUUAGCUAGCAUUUCCACCGAUGCUCGCGGCUUCUUACAGGCUGACCUAGUCAGUACUGCCAUUUUUUACCUAAAUUUACCUCUGAUCAUCGGGACCUACUCUGGAUGCCCGCUGCAAAAGGGAGCUGCUUCAAUACCGCACAAGCUAUUUCACAUACGCUUUCCAGUGUUGUGCAUGGCGUGCACAACAUGAUCUGGCGAGUUACGAUCCCUGACAAUUAGGGGCACUCUCCGAAAAACUGUUUACACACAGGGGGCGCAUUCCUUCUCUAUUCUCUUCUAAUUCCCGGGAAACUGGAACUGAAACGUUAAUAAAUGCAAAAUAAAACUAUAACAUUACACAACUCCAUGGUUAAGCUACUUUCAC